rnacentral:lncRNA from 1 species
ACAGAUAAAAAGCUGUUUUGUUAGUUAAUUCUGAAGCGGUCCCUCUGUUUUCUUUCCUUUGUAUAGAGCCCCAACUAGUGGAAGGCUGGAGAACUGCAUGCGAAGAGAACCCUUUUGCCUGGGAGACACCCACCAGUCUUUCCCGCAGGCUUAGUACAGGUGUAACUAUAACCAAAGCAGCUGGAAACAGAGCCAGAGGUGGGCGUGGUGAAGCAGAUUCUGAAACUGGGUGUACCUCAAGCUUGAAAGUGAUUGAUCGGCAGCAAAAUGGUGCAACACAGAUGUCAUUGAAUUUCUCCAAAUUAAAUGAGCUUCUGGUACAACUCCGUGGCUACCAGGAGAAUAAGGCAGGCUCAAAACCAUGUCAUGUAACUCAAAAAAUUAGAGAUACUGAGUCUUAGAGCAAUAUAAUCAUGGAAAACCCUGUAACUUACUUUAACAUAUUUGGAGGACUAUCCAGUGAAAGAGGAAUUAGAACAGAGAUGGUCAUUCUCAAACAACAAUUACCAGUUGUUACCAUGACUGUCUGGAGCUCUAUAUUGAAAAGAAUGUGAGACAACAUCCAAGGUCAAUGAGAAGGAAUUGUACUUGACAGUGAUGUCCAUCCAACGCUUGAAAGAAAGCCAGUGCCCAGGUGUUGCAUGUGAUGGAAACAGAAUGCCUAUAGUUGACAUAGAAUGAGAACUUGAAAUUCUUGGAGAAUUCUUGAAGAACUUGGAAUUCACAUGAGGUUGGGAAUGCUGUUUUCUGUCAUUACACUGAGAAGUCUAACAAGUCAGUCUGGAAAGAGAGAAUGGGAGAGAGAAGAAUAGAGCAUAUUUUCAGAGAUAAGAAAACUUACCACUCUUAAGAGUCUCCUCCCUCACUCCUGGUAAGUUUCCACUUAUCAUUCAUUCCCUCAUAAAGAAAUCAGUGCAUGUUUGCAGUAAAUUUCCCUUUUUGGCUUUUGCUAAUCAUGUAGGUUUCUGGCUUUUGCAAUCAAACACUCCCUACAGGCUUAUGUCUCAGUGGGGGCAUAUUUCCAUCCCAUUUAAUUCAAUUGAACCAAUGUUUAUUGAAUGCCUGCUAUGCUCCUUGUGUUCAAUAAUUUGGGUCAAGUUAUGAGCCUGGC